rnacentral:rRNA from 1 species
UACAGAGGUCUCAAGCGUUGUUCGGAAUCACUGGGCGUAAAGGGUGCGCAGGCUGCGCGGACAGUCAAUUGUGGAAUUCAAGGGCUCAACCCUUGGGCUGCACUUGAUACUUCCGUGCUCGAGCCUUGGAGAGGAGUCUGGAAUUCUCGGUGUAGCAGUGAAAUGCGUAGAUAUCGAGAGGAACACCAACGGCGAAAGCAAGACUCUGGACAUGUGCUGACACUCAUGCACGAAGGCCAGGGGAGCAAACGGG